rnacentral:piRNA from 1 species
UGUGCUCGUAGCCUUUAUAGGAAAUGUUC